AUUUUAGAAAAAAAUGGUGUCCAUCACAAAGCAUUUGAUUUUUUUCACUUUACUUGUUUUUGUCAUCUUUCCUGCUCAUAAAUGUGAUGAAGUAUUUGAUAAAUUGAGUAUCAAAUAUGGGAGAAAAGAUGGGAUACUUAUUAAUCUUGGCAAGUGUUUCCAAUUCACAAUUAACCAAUGGUGUUGUGAUUCAACUACACCAGUAAAGUGUUAUGAUUCAAUGGAGCAUUGUAAACAAAAUUGUCCACCAUGGACUACUAAUCAUAAUUAGGAUUAAUUAAUUAACAAAUCCUCUUCUAAUUAGAGUUUUUGUUAAACAUCUUAUGAAGUUUCAUAUAUGAAAUAAAUAAGUUCUUAGAGUUAUCGCAUAAUGUCUUUUUUUA